ensembl:lncRNA ITPR1-DT ITPR1 divergent transcript
GGGGCGUCCUGCGAGGCUUUCAGGCUGCUGAGCCUGUUCCUUGGCUGGGGUCGGUAGGGCUUGGAGCCAGCCGUUCAAAGUCACCCCUGGGAAGCGCCCGCAACCCUUGGGGACGCCUCUCCUCCGGCUGCCCCCCUUCCCUGGAAUCCAGGUGUCACUGGGGCCGGGGAGGGGCUAGGAGCUCGGAUUUCUGCUUUGGGAAGUUUUUACAAGCCCACCCUCCCCCUGCCUUGGUUCCCCGAGCCAAGAAUUUCAGAAAUCCGGGGCACAAAAACGCCAGUGUUUGCGGUCAAGGAUUAAAGGCGCGAGGUGUCUUUAUUUAAUCUGCUCCGCCCUGCUCGGGUUUGCACGAGAAACCAAGCCUGGGAGCGACGGUCCACGCAAGCGGAGACACAGGCAAGUCGCGUGAGAGCACUUUUCUGAGCCCGAGUUGCUUGUCUUUUAUCGCCCGUGAGGAGGUAAAGAAAGGCAGACCUCUCCGGUGCACAAAUAAAGGAGCCGUGUUGUGACUUGCCGGCUCUGAGAUUGGGAGGCAGAAAAUAAAUACAAACCGCGACCUCAGUCCUGACCGUACCUCUAGCAGCCCCUCUGCUCCUGGGAGCUGUAAAUGCUUAAGUAAAUAAACCGCAAACCAGAAAAAUAAGGGCUUAGGAAAGAGCCGCUCACACAGAGAUGCGCAUCCAGGCGGGGCGCUCUCCAAGAGCUCCGAAUGGGGCAAGGUGGGUUUCACCCGCUGCCAAGUAAUGCCUGGGCUCCCGGGCUACACGCUGCUUAGGGCUCCGGCUUUUGCAAGGAGGGGAAGAGCUAAGCCCGGAGGCAGUCAGCCGACUGCCCUGUCUUGCCUCAAAUGACGUAUAUUCAUUCCUCAAACGUUUCCUGAGUGUUUACUAGGUGCCAGGCGCUGGGGCAUAGUGGUGAGCCAAACGCAUUAUAGCAUCCCAGACAGGCACUUCCUGACGCCGCCUAAAGAUCUGUUAUAACAAUAGUAAUAAUAAUGAUAAUAAUCAAUGGGGAGGCUGAUUUUAUUGAGCCCAGACCACAUGCAGUUUUCAUGCGUCAUGCUAUUGAGUUUUACCAACUGUAGGUAUAUUUAUUAUAUCUAUUUGGCAGGUGCACAAUCCAGGGCUCAGAGAAAUCAGGUAACUUCCCAAAUGACCCCUCGAGUUAAGUGGUACAGCCUGGACUCCCGUUCCAGACUCUACGUGUAUGAAACCCUUGUCUUUGGGGAAAUCCACCGCCAUUGCCUUAAAUAGCCUCUCUCCCCAUUUAGGAGCAGCCUCUGAGCCCUUGGGCAAGUCAUUUUCAUCUCUUUGCCCCAGUUUUGCCAUCUGAAGGAAAUUCUUAUUAGAAUAUGUCUACUUUUUAGCAGGAUUCCUUAAUAUAAAAUCGAGUCUCAUGAAACUUUAGGAACAAAUUAGAGGAGAAUCAUAGCUAAUAGUUAUUACUGACAUAAUAAUGCCAAAACGAAUCAUAAUUAUUGACACUUAUUGGGUGAAUGCCAUGUGUCAGGCAUUGGUCUAAACUCUUUCUGUAUAGCACCUAAUUAAAUCCUAUUAAGCCAUUUUUUACUUAUGAGAAAACUGAGGGGGGGCACAAAGCGAUUAAAUUACUUCCUCCAAAGUCACACAAAUAGCUGAGUCUUGAACCCUGGUCCUAAACUACUAGUCUCCGCUACCUCCCCAAUGUAAACAUGUGCACUGUAUUUGCCUGCUCAGAUAAGCAUUUAAUGUCAGUCCAGGAAGGGGCAAAGCUCUUGAAAUAGACAAAGUUUGUGUUCACGAUAUUCACUCCUGCCCUCCGUUCCCUGUCAGCAUUAUCCCCUGGUCACUGGACGCUGGGGUCUAGUGCCUAAUACGUUAAGCUGCUUCUCCCCAUCAUCAAGAAACUGCCGCAUCUGCCAUAUAAAGGAGAUGUUUCUCAUUCGCCCCCACUCAUCUCUUCCCCCAUGAAAACCUCUUCCAUUUUCAAAGGAUCUUCGGCUCUACUUUUCAAGCAAAUUCAACAAAUCAGUGUAUGCCUGUGUAACUGGUAAAUAGUGAAGGGUAAUUAUUUCAUGUGCUUCUAACUCAGAAACAAUGGAAUAUUAACAGCGGUUUUCUGAAGAUCCAGUUGGACAAUUUUCAUUUUCAUCAUAUAAUGGACAUUUAUCUCCUACCUGCAUUAUCCACUGUCUUCCCUCGGAGACCACAAAUUUCACUGAAGGCAGCAUCUAUGUCUUAUUCAUGCUUGUGCUCUCUACCUCCCCUGACCCAGAAGGACUUAUUCUUCUUUCUGCACAUUUUAGUAGAUGUGUUAAAAAAAAAAAAAAAAAGUUUGUUAAGAAGAUGUUUUAAUGGAAGGUGUGUCAGGCAUAUGGCAGGAUACAUGACCAUAUUUUUGGAGCAUGCAACACCUCGUAGCCCAUCUCUAUCAUAGCCUAUUUUCUCCGCCUGUAUGUAUGGAUAAUCCUAUUCAACAUUUUUAAGGUCUAGAAGCUGCUAGGUCACUAGAAAGUAAUUUUGCUAUGAUGUGAAGAGGUUCUCUAUGAUGAUGUAUGACUGAUAAAUUAUGAUGAUUAAUGUCAGAAUAUAAGGGUCACUGCCUAACUCAUUCUCUGUUAUCAGUAGAGGGAAAGGAGCUGCUUUCUCUUCACUAUUUUUUUCUAGAAGAAUUUUCUAUCCCUGUGUUUUCCAGUAUAGUGACUACUAGCCAUUUAGGCACGUAAGAUGUGGCUAGUUCUGAGAUGUGAAAUAGAUGUUAACACAUUGAAUUUCAAAGACUUAGUACAAAAAAAAGCAAAAUAUCUUAAUUUGUAUAGUGAUUACAUGUUGAAGUGGUAAUAUUUUGGAUAUUUGUGUUAAAUAAAAUAGAUUAUUAGAAUUUA